GAGUCUGGAGAAAAGACCCCCCCCCGCCCUGCGGCCCAGGAGGCGGUCACGCCCUCAGGGCGCCUCUCGCGGUGGGCUCGGUGGAUGGUUGUUCCAGUGCUGGGGAAGACGGAGGGCCCCCGGAGUGGGAGGCCCGUGGGGAAGGGCAGGCUCACAACCGUGGGUGUGGCGGAGCUCCGGGAGUCCCGGCGGUGGGUCUGCCACCUGCGCCUCCUGAACUAGACGCGGAACCGGGACGCCCGCUCUCCGUUUCGCUGCCCUUCCCACCAAACCCAACGGCAAACCAAGCACAGACCCCAACUUGAUAUUACAGACAUCCUGCCCAAAUGAUUUCUUCAAAGCCCAGACUUGUCGUACCUUAUGGCCUCAAGACUCUGCUCGAGGGACUUAGCAGAGCUGUUCUCAAAACCAACCCACCAAACAUCACCCAGUUUGCAGCAGUUUAUUUUAAAGAACUCAUUGUGUUUAGAGAAGGGAAUACUUCUCUGGAUAUAAAAGAUCUCGUUAAACAAUUUCAUCUGAUUGAAGUAGAGAGAUGGUCAGAAGGAACGACACGAGAGAAGAAACCAGAAUGUGUAAAAGAACCGGUAGGAACAUCCAUAGUUUCCCACGAACGUACACGGAUGGAAAAAUCUACAGACACAGAGGAGGACAAUAUAGCUGGACCACUGUUCAUCAGCAAAACCACUCAGUUCCCAUCAGUUCAUGCUGAGCUGCUCCCAGAGCCCGAGGAGACGUCCGAAGGCGCUCGAGGCUCCAGUUCAAAGCCAACUACCUCUAAGGCUAUGAGCCCACCGUCGUCACCGUCUCCGGCAGCUGGCUCCCCAGAGUUUGCUUAUGUCCCAGCCGACCCAGCUCAGUUUGCUGCUCAGACGUUAGGUAACGUUGCAUCUAUUCAUUCUGAUCAGUCUGACGUGUUAAUGGUGGAUGUGGCAACAAGUUUGCCUGUGUUUUCCAAGGAGGUGCUCAGCUCAGAGGCUGCCGAAGAUGCCGCGGCGGCCACUCCUGCUGUGUAUUCUGCAGAGGUGGUGGCCCUGCAGGUUCUGAGCCAAACAUCUGUCCGUGUAGAUUUGGGUUCUGAAUCUAAAGACGAUGACGCUGAGCCAUCAACGGCUUCCUCAUUCCCCUUGCAGGAUGAACAAGACCCUCCUGCUUACGAUCAAGCUCCUGAGGUCCCUUUGCAGGCUGAUAUUGAGGUCACAUCAUUCGUUCAUAUAUCCUCUAUCUAUAACCAUGAGCCUGUGACUGAAGGAGUCACUUAUGUCGAGCAAAUACCAGAGCACAUAGUUAUCCCUUUCAAUGAUGACGUUGCUACUCUUAAAGAAAAUGAUCAGUCAUCACCCUCUGGUCCCAUUCCUGUAGCACUCAUGAGGGGCUCAGGCAAAGCCGUAGGUUCUGGAAAACGUGCACAGUCGGAGGAAGACGCAGAAUAUUCCUCGGUGCAAAUGGAGGCAGAAGCAGUUCUGUACUCCAACACCUCCCUGCAAGGUCCGCCUGCACAACUCCAGGAUGCAGAGGGCUCUACCAAUGCAGUAGGCUCUGAAAAAUCUUUGCACCUUGAAAUGCAGUUUACUGCUCUAGUCCCUGGCAAUCCUGGGCAGGAGGAAUCCAGGGAAAACUCUGCCACCCAGGAGAUGGAGGCCACACUUGCGCUCUCUGGGGAAGCUGCCAAAGCAGGGAGCUUGGGUGCAUCUGUAAGGUCAUCUGGUGGUCCUCCCAUUCCUGUUCCAGAAGGUCUUACUGAGCCAGAAAUCGAACCAGAGUGGGAAGCAGCACCCGAACAAGGUUUGAUGGAGCCAGGCAGGUUCGAAUACUACAUCGCAUUUAAGGAGACAACUCGGUUAUCAAAUCUUAGGCCUAUGUGCCCUUAUUCAUCACCCCCUUUGUAGACUUUUAGCAGAAUUGUCAAAAUGGCUUUCUCAGCAUGAAAUGCUGGGAUAUUUCGCUGCAAAUACAGAUGCCAGUAGUGACGCCAUUUGAGUCAACGUUCAAGGUGGAGUCUGCCACCCCGUGUAAUUUGUCAAUAAACUUCAUGCAAGCAUAA